CAUUUAGGCCUUUAAUCCAUUUUUAUUUAAUUUUUGUAUACAAUGUAAGGUAAGGGUCUAACUUUAUUCUUUUGCAUAUGGAUAUCCAGUUUUCCCAUUACCAUUUUUUGAAGAAACUGUCCUUUCCUCAUUGUGUAAUCUUAGCACUCUUGUCAAAAUCAUUUGGUUAUAUAUGCAGGGGUUUAUUUCUGGGUUCUGUGUUAUAUUGGUUAUAUGUCUAUAUGCCAGUACCACGUCAUGUUAAUUACUGCUGCUUUGAAGUAUGUUUUGAAAUUAGGGAGUGUGAGGCAUCUGAGAUUGCAUACAAAUUUUAGGAUUUUUUUUUCCUAUUUCUGAAAAAAAGUCAUUGGGAUUUUGAUAGUGAUUGCAUUGAAUCUGUAAAUCACUUUGUGUAGCAUGGAAAUUUUAACAUUAUUAAGUCUUCAAACUCCUGAGUACAGGAUGAGUUCCCAUUUAUUUGUAUCUUCUUAGAUUUCUUCUUUUAUUAAUAACGUUUUGUAGUUUUCAGUGUAAAAAUGUUUCAGUUAUUUGAUUAAGUUCUUUCCUCAGUAUUUUACCCUUUUUGAUGCUAUAGUAAAUGAAAUUUUCUUUUCACGUUGGUGAUUGCUAGUAUAUAGAGAUGCAACUGAUUUUUUAGUGCUAAUUUUGUAUCUUGCAACUUUGCUGAGUUAUUAGUUGUAGCUUUUUGUGUACGUGGGAUCUUUCUACAUAUAAGACCAAGUCAUCUGCAAACAGAGAAAAUUUUAAUUCUUCUUUUCCAAUUUGGAUGUCUUUUUAAAAACUUUCUGAUUGACCUGGCUAGAAUAUCCAGUACUAUGUUAAAUAGUAGUGGUAAGUUGGGCAUCCUUGCCUUGUUCCUGAUCUUAGAGUAAAAGCUUUCAGUAUUUCUCCAUUGAAUAUGAUAUUAACUGUGGGCUUUUCAUAUAUGGCUUUCAUUAUAUUUAGGUACUUUACUUUCAUUUCUAGUUAAGUGGUUUUUUUUUAAAAUCAUGAAAGGCCCUUUAUUUUGUUAUGUGGUGUAUUACAUUGAUUGAUUUUUAUAUGUUGAAUUAUACCAGGUAUAAAUCUUGCCUGAUCAUGACCUGUAAUUCUUUUAGUGUGCUGUUAAAUUUAGUUUGCUAGUGUUUUGUUUAGGAUUUUUGCAUCAAUAUUUAUCAGAGAUAUUGGUCUACAGUUUAUUUUCUUGUGUGUCUUUGCUUUUGGUAUCAGGUUAAUGAUGACUUGUAGAAUGAGUUUGAGAGUGUUCCUUCCUCUUCAAUUCUUUGGAAGAAUUUAAGAAGAAUUUGUAUGUUAAUUCUUCUUUAAAUAUUUGGUAGAAUUCUGCAGUGAAUCCAUCAGGUCCUAGAGUUUUCUUUCUUGGGAGGCUUUUGAUGACUACGUCCAACGCCUCACUAGUUAUACACCUUUUCAGUUGUUUUCUUAAAAUUUCUUCAUGAUUAAGUCUUGAUAGGUUGCAUAUUCCUAGUUUAUCCAUUUCUUCUAGGUUAUCCAAUCUGUUGGUGUAUUCUUCUUCAUAGUAAUCUCUUAUAAUUUUUUUAUUUCUGUGACAUCAAUCAUAAUGUCUCCUCUUUCAUUUCUAAUUUUAAAUAUUUGAGUCUUCUCUUUUUCUUAAUCUAGCUAAGAAAUUAAUUUUAAUUAUUUUUACUAAUUAAUUUGUCAAUUGUGUUAAUCUUUUCAAAACAGACUCUUAAUUUUCUUUUUAAAAGUUAUUUUCUUCUCUCUAUUUUCUACUCUAAUCUUUACUAUUUUAUUCCUUCCGCUGACUUUUGGUUUGCUUGUUCUUCUUUUCCUAUUUCCUUAAAGUGUAAGCUUAGGUUGUUGAUUUGAGAUAUUUCUUGUUUUUAAAGGUAAGUGUUUACCAAUAUAAACGUCCCUAUUUGGAUUGCUUUCACUUCAUCUCAUAAGUUUUGAAAUGUUGUAUCUCUGUUUUUAUUUGUCUCCUGAUGUUUUCUAAAUUCCUUUAUGAUUUAUUCUUUGGCCUAUUGGUUGUUUAAGCAUGCAUUGUUUAAUCUCCACAUAUUUGUGGAAUUUCUUGUUUUCCUUCUACUAUUAAUUUGUAGUUUUAUUCCAGUAUGGUUAGAGAAGAUACUUUGUAUAAUUUCAGUCUUCCUAAAUUUAUUAAGAGUUGUAAUGUAGCCUAACAUGGUCUAUCUUGGAGAAUGUUUCAUGCGCACUUGAGAAGAAUGUGCAUUUUACUGUCGUUAGGUGAAGUGUUCUGUAUAUAUCUGUUAGAUCCAAUUGGUCUUUAGUGUUGUUCAAGUCCUCCGUUUCCUCAUUGAUCUUCUGUCUGGUUCUAUCCAUAAUUGAAAGUGGGAUAUUAAAAUAUACUACUAUUAUUGUGUUGCUGUUUAUUCCCGAUUCAGUUCUGUCAAUGUUUUUUUAAUAUAUUUGGGCACUCUAAUGUUAGGUGCAUAUAUAUUUAUGUAGCCCUCUGUAUCCGCAGGUUCUGCAUCCACAGAUUCAACUAAUCUUGGAUCAAAAAUAUUUGAAAAGAAUGAACCGUUGCAUUUGUACUGAAUAUGUACCAACUUUUUUGGGUGAUUAUUCCCUAAACAAUACAAUAUAAUGACUAUUUGCAUGGUAUUGACAUAAUAUUAGGAAUUAUAAAUAGCCCAGAGAUGAUUUAAAGUAUAUGAGAGGAUGUGCAUAGGUUAUAUGCAAAUAUUGUGCCAUUUUAUGUAAGGGACUUGAGUAUCCAUGGAUUUUGGUAUCCACAGAGUGUCCUGGAAUUAAUCCCCUGUGAAUACUGAGGAACAACUGUCAUUGUUGUAUCUUCCUAGUGAGUUGAACUUUUAAUCAUUAUAUGAUAUCCUUCUUUGUCUCUUGUGACAGUUUUUGUCUUAAGUCUAUUUUGUCUGAUAUAAAUGUCAAUCUAAGUAGAAGAGACAGAGUCUCUCUAAAAUAAAAUUACAUUUAUUCAGGAAUGAGCAUUUCAAUGGGAAUACAGUGGGUAUAUUCAGGGAGGUAAAUGAAGACAAGAGUUUUAUAAGGAAAAAUGAAAAGGGCCACAUAAGUUGUUUUGAAACAAUUUUUCUUGACCACAGGGUUCAAUAACAACGGUGGUAUCAGUCCAAGGUUGGACAGCCAGUUGCUGGGUAGAUGGAAGUAGUUUUGUUUGUGUAAGGUCAUGACAUUUGAGCAACAAUGGAGGUUUGGAGGGAGUGGCUCUUAGGCUAGGUCUACCUGGAGUCCGUUGUUAAGUUCAAUUUUGUUUGUUCUGUAGGUGUGGGCUAUUAUUUCAAAGCUGUAGGCCAGCAUUGUUGUGUUAGGAGUUGUACUUCCACAGAAAUUUGACAGGCAACAGGUACAAAGUUUAAAAAGAAAGAUACGAAGUAAAAUUUAUACUAAUAUGAUCAUCCCAGUUUGCAUAAUGGUUUUGAGCCAUGAACCUGGGCUUAAAGGCAAGCAACUGAAUCAAUCAAAUGAUCAUUGGGAAUUAGGUGAGACCUAAUGUAACUGUGUGCCUGUUUUCUUAUUUUGUGUAUUUGGGUCUCAACUUCCCCAGAGGAAUUUAUCCAGGUACACAUGUAGUCCUAGCAAUAGCAUAGACACUACCUUAUUUAACCAGUAGAUAAUAUAGAAAAAUUUUGUCAUCUGGUAUCUCAUGACUGGGUUGAAUUAAAAGCAUAGAGUGAGUGACAGUUGUAUUAGGAAUAUUUUUAAAGUUGGACUAAAGGAUUCUUUGGUCAUGUAAAGAUCUACGGUUGGCAUAACAGAUCUAACAUUUUGUCAAGUUGUCCACAUAAGCUACUAAUUGUAAAAUUUUAACUACACCAUUAUCCUGCCCAGUGAAAAAGUUAAGCGUAGGCAAGGACAAACUAAGAGGGGCAACAGUCUCAUUAUGAUAAAGUUUGUUCUGGCAGCUUGAGAAAGCUGUCCACAGCAUAAAGACAUCAACUUCUCAUCCUGGUUUGUAGUUUGAAUGUCUCUCGUUAUAGCAUUGGGUGGUUUGGUGAACUUUCUGCAUGACCCAUAAAUCAGGCAUGAGGCUCUUAAAAUUUACAUCAAGUUUUCUAGCUUCAGCUUACAGGGCUUUAGGAAAGAGUAGUUCCCAUUCUUAGUAAUAACAUGGGAGAAAAUUAGAUUAGGGAACCUAGAAUAACUUAGGAUCCAGUCUGGUCUACAGUAGAUAAUAAAAACUCAAAGACAAUGCACAGAACUACAAUCUAAUAACAGAUGUAUUAUAGUCCUUUUCUAGAAACAUAAUUUUGUCUCUAUAUAGUUAUCCUAAUUUCUACCAAAGAUAAUUACAGUAAGACUGAUUUGUUUGUAAAUAAGUUUAGUUUUAUUAUUAUUUUAGGUUCUUGUAUUAUUUUAUUAGUUUUAUUAUUUUAGUUUUUUAAAGUUUAUUUAUUACUUAACCUAAUAAUUUACAUAAGAGCAGCAAGAGUAGUAAAUUGAGCACAAAAGAAUCUCAGAUUUUAUUUAUUUAUUUUUUUUUUGAGACGGAGUCUCGCUGUGUCGCCCAGGCUGGAGUACAGUGGCGCGAUCUCGGCUCGCUGCAAGCUCCGCCUCCUGGGUUCCUGCCAUUCUCCUACGUCAGCCUCCCGAGUAGCUGGGACUACAGGCACCCGCCACCACGCCUGGCUAAUUUUCUUUGUAUUUUUGGUAGAGACGGGGUUUCACCAUGUUGGCCAGGAUGGUCUUGAUCUCCUGACCUCGUGAUCUGCCUGCCUCGGUCUCCCAAAGUGCUGGGAUUACAGGUGUGAGCCACCGUGCCUGGCCAAGAAUCUCAGAUUUUAAACCUCCUUGAGUCUAGAAAGCCAAGCAAAGGCAGACUUCAGACUUUGUUUGCAGUACCAAUAAAAAUUUAAAUAUGGCAUUCCAGUUUUAAUUGGUAAUACAACCAAUGUUUUUAACUGUAUCAUGUUACAAGGAGGUACAGAUUCAUACUGAAUGUAUGCAAAUAAUUAUAUUGUCAUUUAAGAAACACUAGCAAAUCAUUUCCAAAUUUUGAAGGGACCAAAUAGAAAAAAAUAAAUAUUUCCACCUUUGUUCACAAAAGUAUAUUUUACCAAAUUGUUGUAAACUAUAGAUAGCUUAAGAGAAAAUGUUUCCUUAAACUUGGAAGACAAAACAUUUCAAUAAAAAACCAACAAUGUUUAAAUUAAAAGUUAUAAAAACAUUAUCAGUUAUUCAAUUUCAUGUAAUUAGUUUUUGUUAUGCUUGAUCUUGAUUAGCAGUUUCACAAAUUCAUCAAUUUCUUCAUUGCAGUUGUGAAAAGUUUUAUUUAGUUCUUUAAUCUUGAAGUUAUUAGAAACUUGUAUUUAAGAGUACUUAUUAGAGUCUUUUCCAUGAAUCUGAUUGCAGAUACCUUUAGAGAAAAAUCAAAACUGUGGAUGUCAAAGACUUAGAAUAACCAUCAUUAAAAAUCUGAUGGGAGUUCAGCAAUUGAGAAGGAAAUUCAAUUAUUUCUAUUGUAUUUAGCAUUUUAAGGUAACAACCAGAAUCGUGGUUGACAGCAUUACAUCAGGACCAUCAGACCUUCUUAAAUUUCACAUAAUAUUUAAUAUACAUCAAUAACAUAUCCAUGUAACUUAAAGAAAAUAUAGCAUCACUUUAUUAUUUGACAUUGAUUCCCAUACAAUUAAUAAAAUAAGCCAAAUUAGUUUAACAUCUCUACAAGAUGAUACCUCCUUUAAGGUUCUCCAGGGGCUCAACUGGAAAAUCUCUCAGUUAGUUAUAGGUCAAAAAGACUUAAUUUAGAACUUUGAUCCUGGAGAGACCUGCCAAAAAUGUCAAAAUGGUUGAAACAUUUAAUUAAAACAGAAUCACAGAUUAUUGUGGAAUAAUAGUCAUUCACUUAAUCAGAGUGAAAAGAGAUUCCAAAAGCAAAUACAGAACAUUACAUGGAUUAAAAAAAAAACCUUAAUUCUUUCAAAGCUCCUAAGUAAUAAAAAACCUAAUAAAGACAACAUGAAGCAUGAGAAAUUAUUUUGAUAAAACAAAAAAUCUUUGUUUCCUAGGCCAGCUAUCAAAAGAUAAAAACCUUCUACAUAUCUAAAAACCCCUUGUGAUUUCUUCUCCCUGUGGGAAACCCAUUUCAAUAACCUGGAAGUUGAGCCUGAUGAAAAGGUACUUGAAUUCAACUAAACACUGGAAGAGUGUGUAUCCAAGGUUAUGAGUGUACCAUAUUAUAGAAAAGAUAAACAAGAAAACAAGUACCUUGAGCAGGGGGAUAUGUGGCUCUUAGAAAAAGUAAAAGAAUGUGGAAUUUAUUGGUUAAACAGAGCAAUUCAGACACAUCAAGAAAAGACAAAAUUACAGAAUCAAGUUAUACUGGAAGAAAAUAUUAUUCCCCUAGAUUCUUCUAGGCCUUAAAGACAAACAUUUUUAGUGUUAGGCCACAAUAGCAGAGUCAGAACUGGAGAGAGAGCCAGAGAGAGAGCGAGUGAGAGAGCGAGUGAGAGAGCGAGAGAAGCAAGAGGAGUGAGAGGAGAGAGAGGAAGAGAGAGAGAGAGAGAAAGAGAGAGAGUUACAGGAGCUGACUCCAAAGUUGAGGGAGAGGGUUAUCAUCCCUAAGGAGACAAGGAAGAGCUGAAGGCAAUGAUGCAUGAUUUUAGUCGUUCACUUAAUCAGAGUGAAAAAAGCUUCCAAAAACAAAUGCAGAACUUUAUGUAGAUGUAAAAAAAACAAACCUUAAUUCUUUCAAAGCACCUAAGUAAUCAAAAACCUAAUAAAGACAACAUGAAGCAUGUUUCUCAUCAAAUCAUGUGCAAUGAGAUACAGCAAAGUCAAACUGAGAUAUGAAUUUGAAAAGCUUCAAAAGGAAAGUUCUUUUGAGAAACUAAAUUACUAUUUUUAAAUGAAGUAGAUAGUAUUUUAAAGCUGGAAUAAGGGAAAUUAAGUGGAAAGUGUAAAACAGGAAAAAGCUGCAGUUCAGAAGACGGUUGAAAAUUUAAACGGAUUUCAGAAUAUCAAAACCUCUUGCAGAUUUUUUUUAACUAAAAUCACAUAAAUACUUCAAGAAAACCUUGUUGCUUUAAAUAUAGGUGAAUGGAUUCUGGUUUUGUAUCACUGUAUUAAUACUCAAUUUUUGAUAAAACCUGUGAAUAAUUCCCUUUUAACUAUAGGCAACUUGAUUAAACACAAAUUUUUUUCCAUAAGAUUCAUCUUAUAUAAAAAGAAAAUUGUCUGACAAAUAUAUCCAGGCAAAAUGUAUGCUUGCAAUUCUGAAGACCUCACUAUUUUACCAACAAUUUUAAAAUCAGUUUAUUUACCAAAGAUUUACCUAAGUCACACAAAUUUUUAAAAGUUGGGUUUAUUACUAUUUUUAGUAAAUAGUUAUUUACUAUUUUUUCUGAUAAAUUGCUUAAUUUUUUUUCUUUACAUCAAUUUCAUAGUUGUUUUAUAUAUUUCUGUAGAAAAAUAUUAUGUAUGUAUAACACAGACCCAGAAACAUACAGAAACACAAAAAGAUCUUAUAGCUUAUCACUGUAAAAUUGUAGUCAAGAAACUGUAAAAUAUACUAAUAUAAAAUCACUAGUGUAUAAAAAAAGACAGUUGGAUCCAAAUUAUAUUUCUGAAAAAAUGGGACAAGUUAAGAUCAGUUUUUCAUAUUGCUAAUCUUUUUUUUUUUCUUUUGCCUUUGAUAGGUAAUCUUAUGAGAGAAGUGGACCAAAUUUAGGGUAAAGCUGUUUUUAUAGCGUUUUAGUUUUUGAAAAAUCUUUUACCCUUUUUUCCUCUUCAAUUUUAAGUGAGUUGUUUUAAUUAACUUCUGGAUAUUUACAUUUCAGUUAGGAUUGGCUAGAAAAAUAAACUUCCAAGAAUCCUUGAACUUAUUAACAAAUUUAAUACAAGCAAACAAGUCAGCAGAUUCAGAGCAAGCAGAGAAAAAAAGAGAGCUAGCUUAGAAGCCCCUACAUGUUAAUCCUACAGUUCCAGUCUCUUAAUUCAGCUCUAAGGAAACAAGCUUAGAGAGUUUAAAUAAUUCCCAUAAUGGCCGUACAUUAUCCUUAGUGUAAUUUGCCAAUUAUUUUUUAAAUGUGCAUGAGAAAGGACCAUAAAUUUCAAAUGUAUAGCUGCCUCAAGUGCCAGAGGGCUUGGCAUUCUUUAGAAGUUGAAGAUCCCAUUGCAUUUCUUAUCAAUCUCUCAAGAGCAAAGAAAAGCCCAUAAAUUUUGUCAAAAGCGUUGACCAAGCUGUUUUGUUUUAACUAGUGUACCUGACACAGAAUUCAUCUUUUUAUACUUGGCAGAUGGCCUUUGUCCUAGUUGUCUAACCUAUGACCAAGUUUACCCUGGUUGUGUAGAAAUUUUCUUGAGACUGGCAGGUGCCUCAGUGGUAAUAUUCUUUGUCUGUGACUAUUUUAUCCUUACAUGGGAGACGUUUUCUUUGGAGACUGGAGUCCCUCAUAGAUGGCAGUGACGUUCCUAGUGGCAUUUAUUAUUAUUUUGUUGUUAUUGUUGUUGUUUAGAUACAAGGUCUCACUCUGUUGCCCAGGCUGGAGUGCAGUGGUGCAAUCACAGCUCACUACAGCGUUGAACUCCUGGGCAAAGUGAUCCUGUUAUCGCAGCCUCCUGAGUAGCUGGGGAGACAACGUGUGCAUCACCACACCUGGCUAAUUUCUAAAGAAAUAUUUUUAGAGACAGGGUCUUGUUAAGUUGCCCAGGCUGGUAUGGAAGUCCUGGUUUCAUGUAUUUCUCUCAUCUCAGCCUCCCAGCUGGCUGGGAUUACAGGCAGAAGCCACCAUGCCUGGUCCUAGUGGCUUUAAUUGUCCACUAAAAUCAGUUUAUUUACCAAAGAUUUACCUAAGUCAUGUGAACCUUAAAAAAUGUGAGUUAACUACUAUUUUUCUGAUAAAUUACUUAAGUGCUUAAUUUUUUUCUUUAAGUCAAUUAAAUAGAGCUCUUUCAUAUAUUUUGGUAGAAAAUAUUACAUAUAUAGACACAAGAACAUACAGACAACACAAAAAGAUAUUUUCCCUUUUCCCUUUAAAAUUUUAGUCAUGAUACAUUAAAACAGUAAUAUACUGUGCCAUUUAGAAUGUUUAUUUUUGCUCUUCGAAGGUGUUCAUAAACAAGCAGGGAAAACAAAAGAGCCAAAUUAUUUACAGUUGCAUGUAACCAAAUUGACAUGAAACCAAAUGAAGCGUGCUCACAAAAAUUUUAAGCCAGGCUUGCAGAGCAAACAAAGUAUAAAACCGUGUUUGCAGAAAAACCAAAGCAAAUUCACUAGAAAAUACAUGCCUCACAGAACAUAAUUUCUGUGGGAACCAGAGUACUCUCCAAAAGAACACUUGGCCUUAUACCAGAAGAGGCUUUCCAGAAAAGACAAAAAGUCUUUUGUAGUCCCACAAGGGUUGCAAGGUCCUUAAUUUAAGGUGGUCUUAUAGCCAAAUCCAGAUCCUGAAUAAAGUCAAAAGAACUUACCAAAUGAAGGACAUCUGAGAAUCUAAGCGAAGAUUCACCACAGCAGAGAAGGAAGGCCAUAGAAGCAGAGGCCACAAAAGGGGUCAGUGUUGGUAUCUCACUAGAUUCCAGGGGAUGCUGGCCUGUUUGAGGUCAGCUGACUUCAGUCUCACUUCUUGACACAAACUUUAUGUCAACCUAAAUGCAGACACAGAGAGAAGAUGUCUAAAAGAAAAUUAUAUUUAUUCAGGAAUGAGCAUUGCAAUGGGAAUAUAGUGGGUGUAUUCAGGGAGGUAAAGAAAGACAAGGGCUUUUAAAGGAGAAGUGAGGAGGGUUACAUGAGUUUUUUGAAACAAUUAUCUUUGGCUACAAGGAUCACUAACAAAGGUGGUAGUAGUUCAAGGUUGGACAGCCAGUUGCUGGGCAGCUGUCUUAACCAAAGUAUUUUUGUAUGUGUAAGGUUGUGGUGGCCUUUGUGCAAGGUUGUUGUGAUUUUUGCAGUCUUUUGUGAUCGUUCCUCUUAUCAGGUAUAUGUGCAUGAGAACCUUCUUUUCAUCACCUUCCCUGGCUCCAUUUGUCCUGCUACGGUGACACCAGUCUUUUAGUCCAUACAUUUGACUUCAUGAGGAGUUUGCUAUAAUCAGUUGAAUGAAGAAGAAACAUGUGGACCUGCUUUAUAGAAGGAAUGAUGCCAGGGGGAUGAAUAGUUUUGCUGGAUGGUCAUGGACUUCAAAGAAGCAUGAUUGAUAAUUGGUUGACAAGGCAAAUUGACAAUGAGGUAUGUGAGUGGACUACUUUUAAUGAGCAGAAUAUAAAAUUACUUGUGGCCUAUUUAAUUGUCAAUAAUCAGCAACCUCACCAGAAGAUGAGCUUAAUAAUCAGGUGAUCAAGAUGGUACAUUCUGUGAAUAUUCUUCAAGAUUUUUCUCUAGCCAACCAUGUCCAUUCCCAGUGGGUGCAUGAACAGUGUAGUCAUGUUGGAAGAAAUGGAGCUUAUUAGUUCAGUACUAUGAAAUUCCAUUUACUAAAUCCGAUCUGGCUACAACCACAUUUAUAUGGCCAAGCUAUCAAAAGUAUGGACUAACACUGGACCUCAGAUAGGCACUCUUCUUCAAAGGGGACUACCAACCUCCUGCUGGAAUUUGAUUACACCGGACCACUUUGAUCAUGGAGGAGACAGCACUUUGUUUUCAAUGGAAAAGACAAUUACUCUAGAUAUGAAUUUGCCUUUCCUAUUCCAAUGUUUCUGAUAAAAGCAUCACAUGUGGACUUUACAAAAUGUUUUAUUUUCUGCCAUGGAAUUCCACCCAGCAUUUCUUGUGACCAGGGCAGUCAUUUUUCAAAUAAUGAAUUGGGUCCAUUGGGCUCAUGUUCAUAGAAUUCACUAAACUUACCAUGAUUCCUGUUAACAGUUCCAUUUCAGUAGUGGGACAUGCCUCAAUUCUCAGAAGUCCUACCAUCUCUGAUUUGUCUUCCCAUGUUUGUUUACCUAAUUCCUACUUUAAAAUGUCCUUGUCGCUAAAAUCCUAGUGAUUCUGCUUUUCUGAUUGAACCCUGACUGAUAUUGAACCAUUUCUGCUCCUUUUCAGACACUACCCCUCUCUCUCGACUAUAAUCACUUUCCUAACUUCUAUCACCAUUGACUACUUUUCCUUUUGUAUAUCUUUACAUAUAUGAAAUCAUAUUGUAUAUAUUCUUUUGUGUCUCUGUUUUGCUCAACAUUAUGUUUGUGAGAUUGAACUAUGCUGCUGUUUUAUAGCAAUUGUUUACUUAUUUUGUUACUGUAGAGCAAGUGUAGGCACACUACAUCCCAUGGGUGAAAUCUUGUAUAUAUUUCGGGGUGCGCAUGUGUGUGUGUUUCUGCUCGCUAGAAGUGGAAUUUCUGUGUCAUGGAGAAUACAUAAAUUUAACUCUAGCAGAUACUGUGAAACAUUUUCCAAAGUGAUUGUACCAAUUUACACUCUUACAAGGACCGUGGUAGAGUUCCAUCUGCUCCAUGUGCUUGCCAAUGCUUGGUGUUGUCAGACUUAAAUUAUUUUAAAUUAUUUUUUAAAUUCACCAUUCUAAUUUUUUAAAAGAAGUAGAGUAUAAUGCUGGUUACCAGGGGUUGGAGUGGAGGGGUUGGGACAUAUUGGUCGAAAGAUAUGACAUGUCAGUUAUACACGAGUAAUUUUUUAAAAAUCAGUCAUUCUGGUAUGGUGAUAGAGUUGUCUCAUUGAGGGUUUAAUUUAUACUGCUGUAAUGACUAAUGAAGUUGAGCAAACAGAGCAUGUAUCUGAAGCCUUGUACAUUUGUAUAUUCUUCUUCAUAUAGUGCUUACUCAAGUGAUUUGUUGAUUUGUCUAUUUGGUUGUCAGUCUUAUUCUUGUAUUUAUAGGAUUUCUUUAUAUUCUGCUUACAAGCCUUUUGACAUAUGUGUGUAUUGUGAUUAUCUUUUCAACUGUGGCCAGCAUUUUCACUUUCCUUGUGGUACAUUCGAUAAACAACCAUUCUCAUUUUAAGUUUUUUAAUUUUACUUUUCAGUUGGUACUUUAAAAAAUCGUUGCCAACAUUAGAGAAGGUCACAAAGAUAUUUUAGUAGCUAUUUAAAAAAAUCUUUUAAUUUUAAGAUCUAUAUUCCAUAUCAUAUUGAUAUUUACAUAUGGGAUGUGCUAAAGGUCAAGAUUAAUUAUUUUUCUAUAUGAAGAAUAUACAGUAUCCUCACUUCUUAAGAUAUUUCUCCAUUUUAGUUAUCUUUGUGAAAUAUCAAAUGACUAGAUAUAUGUAAAUCUGUUUCUGAACUUUCUAUUAUCUUCCAUUAGUCUAUUCAUAUUUGCAUAUAUAGCACACUUUUAAUUACUGCAAAUACAUAAAAUGUCUUGAUGUCUUAUCGCAUAAACCCACCUCUUUCUAUUUUCUUUUGAUGUUUUGGUUAUUCUUGACUGUUGCUUUUCUUUACAGAUUUUAGACUCAGCUUGCUAGUUUUCACCAAAAAACUGCUGAGAAUUUUAUUAAAUAUAUAGAUUAUUCAAAGGAGCACUGAUAGCUUUACAACAUUGAAUUGUCCAGUAUCUGAAUAGCACCACAUAUUUUAAAUUUUCAUUGAAGUAUAAAUAUAUGUAGAAAAAUGUAUAUGUCAUAUGUGUCAUGAUUGUUUAAUUUUCAACACACUCAAAAUACCAGCAUCUGUAUCAAGAAACUGCACAUAACCAGCAUGUGGUAGCCAUGAAAAUGUAUUUCACAAAUAUUUUAAUGAAGUAACCAAAGACCCCUAUUGUUGUGUUUUAAGGUCAAUCCUGUGUUUGCAUCAAGGCCAGAUUUUCUGAAGGCUGCUGCUCCCAGUCAAUAUCUGAGAGCAGUAAGGAUUCUAAGGUAGACCUGUUCAGGGAGACAUAGAUCUUCUCUGUUGGAUAGAUAAGAUUGUGAAUACCUGACUUUAAUGGCUUUUUCUUUAAUAUAACUUUUCUUUCUUUCUUUUUUUUGAGAUUUAGUCUCACUCUGUCAUACAGGCUGGAGUGCAGUGGCGCGAUCUCGGCUCACUGCAACCUCCACCUCCAGGGUUCAAAGGAUUCUCCUGCCUCAGUCUCCCAAAUAGCUGGGAUUACAGACAUGCCACCACACCUAGCUAAUCUUUGUAUUUUUAGUAGAGAUGGGGUUUCACCAUGUUGGCCAGGUGGGUCUUGAACUCCUGACCUCAGGUGAUCCUCCCGCCUUGGCUUCCCAAAGUGCUGGGGUUACAGGUGUAAGCCACUGCACCUGGCCUAAUGUAACUUUUCUUAAGCUGUAUGGAAGUCCAGAAUGAUUUUAUCAAAUCUUCCUUUGUUGUUGUUGUUGUUGUUGUUGUUGUUGAGACAGGGUCUCACUCUGUCACCCAGGCUGAAGUGCAGUGGCACAAUCUUGGCUCACUGCAACCUCUGCCUCCCCGGCUCAAGUGAUCCUCCAGCCUCUGCCUCCCAAGUAGCAGGGACUACAGGCACGUGCCACCACACCCAGUUAGUUUUUGUAUUUUUUUGUAGAGACAGAGUCUCACUUUGUUCCCUGGGCUGCCUUUUGUUCUUUACUCAGUGUUAGAUUUACAUCAUGGUGCAGCUUCUCUCCUGUUUUCUCUCACAAUCAUUUCCCCUAAUAAAAUUCUUACACAACU